rnacentral:tRNA from 1 species
CUUAGCUCAGUUGGUUAGAGCGUUGCAUUGACAUUGCAGAGGUCGAUGGUUCGAAUCCGUCAGG